rnacentral:rRNA from 1 species
GAUGAACGCUGGCGGCGUGCCUAAUACAUGCAAGUCGAGCGAACAGACGAGGAGCUUGCUCCUCUGACGUUAGCGGCGGACGGGUGAGUAACACGUGGAUAACCUACCUAUAAGACUGGGAUAACUUCGGGAAACCGGAGCUAAUACCGGAUAAUAUAUUGAACCGCAUGGUUCAAUAGUGAAAGACGGUUUUGCUGUCACUUAUAGAUGGAUCCGCGCCGCAUUAGCUAGUUGGUAAGGUAACGGUUUACCAAGGCAACGAUGCGUAGCCGACCUGAGAGGGUGAUCGGCAACUCGGCAAGUAGGACGCGGACCAACCUCCUAGGGGAGGCAGGGCUAGGGAUCCUCCGGCAGGGGGCGAAAGGCUAUCGGGGACAAGGCGCGAGAGUCAUAAGGGGCUUGGGAUCGUAAACCUUUUUUAUUGGAGAAAAAAAAAUUUGUUAGAAACUAGACGAUUAUGACGGUACCCGAAGAAGAAGCCCCGGCUAACUUCGUG